UCGGUUUAACUCGGAAUAUCGGGUUGAUGCGAUUUGUCGGUUUACUUUGUACACCCAUUAUACCAGAUACCUUAUUCUGGUUCCAAAGUAUUAAAUUAUUCAAAAAAAGGAGUGAAAUUUUAAGGUUCUAUACCUGAGUAUACGUUCACUGUUUCGCCGUGGAACUCCUCUGUUUGGUUUAUGUCGUGUUUGUUUGUGUCGUUGAAAGCUGGUCUAGUUUGUAGGAUUUUGCAUCUGAUUUGUUUAAGCAAUAAGUCAUGAAUUCUUAGGGAAUCUUAG
rnacentral:lncRNA from 1 species